CGUUCCCGGGCCUUGUACACACCGCCCGUCACGCCAUGGAAGCCGGAAGUGCCCGAAGUCCGUGACCCAACCCUAGGGAGGGAGCGGCCGAAGGCAAGUUCGGUGACUGGGGCG
rnacentral:rRNA from 1 species